CAGUCGCCGCGGGAAUACGAAGGGUGCAAGCGUUAAUCGGAAUUACUGGGCGUAAAGCGUGCGUAGGCGGUUUGUUAAGUCUGUUGUGAAAUCCCCGGGCUCAACCUGGGAAUGGCAGUGGAUACUGGCAAGCUAGAGUGUGUCAGAGGAUGGUGGAAUUCCCGGUGUAGCGGUGAAAUGCGUAGAGAUCGGGAGGAACAUCAGUGGCGAAGGCGGCCAUCUGGGACAACACUGACGCUGAGGCACGAAAGCGUGGGGAGCAAACAGGAUUAGAUACCCCCGUAGUCCCUGUCUCUUAUAC
rnacentral:rRNA from 1 species